UCAAAGAAAGAUCUAAUUCUUUGUUUACAUCUAGAUACAUUAAUUUUGUUGCUGUUUCAUCUUUAACUUUUCUUUUUAAGCUUUAGAUCUACUAGAAUUCUAAUGCUGACUCUUUAUGAACUAUUCGGAAACUCAGGACAUUUUAUCAUCUUAGCCACUGACUGAUGAAAAAGAUUUCCAGAACUCAUGUGGCACUGAUGCAGACGCGUGACCUAUGUGAGCUUUGUGCCCAAGAUGAUAUGGCUUUGUAUGUUUGCAUUGAUGAAUAUUGACCUUUGUACAAGUGUUUCAGUGUUAGCCAACGAAGCGAUCAAAGCCAAAUACUUUGACUGUUUGGACCUUCACUUCUCUUCUCUGAGUGACGCAGUAUGUACGGAUGUCGCUAAAAUCAUCCGCAUCUGCGCCCAGAUCUCUUUCUCGCAUGUGAGGCCGUCCGACAUCAUCGUGAAGACAAUAGACGACGACACGAAGUCCUUUCUGUCCAGAUUUUACCUGCAGUGCAAUGUCACCAUCGUUGCGUUUCUUCCAGAGAGAGAGAGCCAAGCUGGCAGGUCUUCCACUCUGUCUUCGUGGAGGUGGCUCUUAGACCUUAUUGCCAGUUUUCUCGUACUGGGGACACUUUUUUUUCUUGUGAUGUGAUGUUUUUUUUGCCGGUUUAUGCGCGUCGUAAUAUGGCCAGUGAAUGCGCGUCGUAAUAUAGUUCAGUAAAUUAUUUCGUGAUAAAUGAACUUCACCUUAUGUUGACUGAUUAGUUAAUGUAUAGGUCUGAUAUCAAGAAAUUAGUGAAAAAUUAUAUAUGUGUAUAAGUUUUAAAUAAGCUAUAAAUAAAACAUCAACAACAUA
rnacentral:sRNA from 1 species